rnacentral:rRNA from 1 species
GCCGCUUUUCCGCCUAAUUGAUUGAGCCUAUGUUAGAUUAGCUAGUUGGUGGGGUAAUGGCCUACCAAGGCAGUGAUCUAUAGCUGGUCUGAGAGGAUGAUCAGCCACACUGGAACUGAGACACGGUCCAGACUCCUACGGGAGGCAGCAGUGGGGAAUAUUGGACAAUGGGCGCAAGCCUGAUCCAGCUAUGCCGCGUGAGUGAGGAAGGCCUUAGGGUUGUAAAACUCUUUCAGUAGGGAAGAUAAUGACGGUACC